GGAAACUUAAAAACUAUCGUUGGAUCGAGAAAUAGACGUUCGAGAUUCGUCCACGUCACUAUGAGUUAAAAUUUAACUCGCAGAUUCACUCAUGAGUUAAAAUUUUACUGGGAGUUAAAUUUUAACUCAUGAUGACGUGGAUAAAACAAUGGGAGUAUGUUUCUGAUUCAAUUAGUUUGCAACAACCAGUGUCC
rnacentral:pre_miRNA from 2 species